CCAAGAGCCUCCCUGUAAUGCGCGUGUUCCUCAAUCGCACAGGGGCCGUUGUUUGUGAAUUGAAAGGCGGGGAUCCAACCUGGAGUGAUCCACAGUGGGAAAUAGAUGAUGCCAAAGACAAGCUGAUGUUGCAGGCUGAAACUUUUGUAGAUGAGCACGGCGCAUUCAUACGGUCCUCCAUCCUCUCUUUGAAAGACGGGAUCCGUGCUUUGAACUGUGUAUGUACGCACAUCACUGGAGUCAUUAUUCGAACUCGGGUCAUGCAAGAUAAUGCUUUUUCAGUGCAAGGAUCAGUGCCAGCUUCAGGCAAGGAUCAGUGCCAGCUGCUGCGGUACCUAUUUCCCCUGGCUGUGGUGCUGCUGCUGGUGACUGUGACAGCCAGUGGGCUGUGGGCCUGGAGACGGAGGAAGUAGAGCCCUAUAGCACAGGGAAUGGACAGCACAUACGGGAUCUGAUCGGGAUUUGUAACUCAGGGGUUGUAGGUUUCAUUCCCCAAUGAGACUCUACCACUGUACUUUGGCACAAUGUGCCUGCACUGUUUCAGUACACAUCCAGCUGUAAAAAUGGAUUGAGUGUUCAAAGAAAGUAAUUUGUUCUGACAAGAGCAUCUGUUGAAUGUCUAAAAUCCAAUAGGACUUGAAGGAGCAUUUCUUUAUUUUCUUUACUUUGUAGAUGUCACAGCAGUAUUUGCAGAUUAAAAACAUUUUUGGCCCA